GAAAUUCUUGUAAUGGCGGACAUGGCGGACGGCAACAUCCCGGCGACAGCAGUGGACAGGGAGGAAUAUAAAUAGAGUUUGUCAGGGAGCAGUCUUUGGUGGGCAAAAUAGAGCCCACCAAAGUUAAAAGGAAGUGGGAAAACCUUAAACAAAAGUACAAGGAAUUGAAGGCCCCUAAAACAGGCAUAAGCACAGAGGGAGGAGAGGCCACUGCCGCAUCCUGGAAGUGGUACUCAC